CACCGUAUACCGCCAUUGCCAGCCCAGAUGCCAGUGGCAUUCCUGUAAUAAAUUGCCGUGUGUGCCAGUCAUUAAUCAAUUUGGAAGGGAAGCUUUACCAGCAUGUUGUCAAAUGCACAGAUUGCAAUGAAGCUACGGUAAAUGACUUUGCAGGCUUCUCGCUCUCGUGACAUGUUUUAUUAUGCCCUUUCACAAUAGAAGAGACUCACAUCGAUGUGACUGCUCAGCAGCUGAGAAUUAGCAUGCAGUAUGAGGAUCAUUUGGAUGCAAGGAAAGCCACUUUGAGUAGAAAACAGUAACCAGAUGAUGAUGUGACUAAUUCAUAGGCGCUACAUUUAUGGAGAUAGUAGUUCCCAUGGCCUAUAAUUAAGUCCUGAAUGAGUAGCUUCUUUAUUUGCAGUCCAGUCCAGGUAUGGUCAGUUUCUGUAUUCUGCAGUGCUUUAUGCAGAUCAUAUAGUUUGCCAAACCACCAUUUUAAGAGUGUAAAAUCCUGACUGCCUACUAUUAUUACUAAAAUAGAAGAGAAAGAAAAAAGAGCAUCUUUUGCUCGCUCGUAUUAACAAUAAAAAUUAAUUCAUCAAUCCUGACUUAAACAUGCACGUUAAUAAAAGCAGUCCAUAUGUCCAAAUAGAUAGCCAAACAAGAAUGACAAUUAGAAGAUGCACUUUCAGAUACAGAAAGGGGAGUGAGAUCUUUGGACCGCUGGGUAAUAGAUGGUGGGUGUUCAUUCUUUGAACCUUGAAGUAUAAGUCCCUGUGCAACCAUAGGGGCUCAUAGCAGCAGGAGACUCUUCCAGGUGGUUCGCAAUUUAGCGGAACCACCUGCUCCAUCCGGGCCCAGUACGGGCCACAUGAUCUCCUGCAAUGAUUUUGCAAAGUUUUUUGCAGAUAAAGUCGCUCAGAUUCGGGAAGAGGUAGACUCCACCGUGGGAGCAGGGCCGGGGCGGGGGAGUGCUAGAGUCCUGUCUAGUCAAGUUUUGUGGGAUCAAUUUCAAUCUGUUACCUCCGAGGAUGUGGACAGGCUGCUUAGACGAAUGAAACCAACCACCUGUCUCCUUGAUCCUUGCCCAUCCUGGAUUAUAAAAGCUAGCCAGGAAGGGCUGGGCGAUGGGCUUCGCGGGUUGAUAAAUGCUUCUCUCCAUGAGGGAGCCUUCCCAGACCCGCUGAAAGAGGCGGUUAUUAAACCGCUUCUUAAAAAACCAUCUUUAGAUCCGGCCAAUAUGGCCAACUAUCGCCCAGUCUCAAAUCUUCCAUUCUUGGGCAAGGUGAUUGAGCGAGUGGUUGCGGAACAACUCCAGGCACGCCUGGAAGAAGCGGACCAUUUGGAUCCCUUCCAGUCAGGAUUCAGGCCUCAUCAUGGGACUGAAACUGCCUUGGUCGCACUGGUCGAUGAUCUCCGGCGGGCUAGGGACAAAGGUAAGAGCUGUUUCCUUGUUCUGCUGGAUCUCUCAGCGGCUUUUGACACCAUCGACCAUAACAUCCUUCUGGACCGUCUAGAGGGCUUGGGAGCUGGGGGCACUGUCAUGCAGUGGUUCCGCUCCUUCCUCCUGGGGCCGUGUUCAGAAAGUGGUGGUGGGGGAUGAGUGUUCAGACCCCUGGGCGCUCACUUGUGGGGUGCCUCAGGGUUCUGUCCUCUCCCCCAUGCUUUUUAACAUCUAUAUGCAGCUGCUGGGAGAGAUCAUCAGGGGGUUUGGGCUGGGUGUCUAUCAGUAUGCUGAUGAUACCCAGCUCUACCUCUCUUUUAAAUCAGAACCAGUGAAGGCGGUGAAGGUCCUGUGUGAGUGCUUGGAGGCGGUUGGAGGAUGGAUGGUGGCUAACAGAUUGAGAUUGAAUCCUGACAAGACAGAAGUACUGUUUGUGGGGGACAGGAGGCGGGCGGGUGUGGAGGACUCCCUGGUCCUGAAUGGGGUAACUGUGCCCCUGAAAGACCAGGUGCGCAGCCUGGGAGUCAUUUUAGACUCACAGCUGUCCAUGGAGGCACAGGUCAACUCUGUGUCCAGGGCAGCUGUUUAUCAGCUCCAUCUGGUACGCAGGCUGAGUCCUUACCUGCCCAGUGACUGUCUCUCCAGAGUGGUGCAUGCUCUAGUUAUCUCUCGCUUGGACUACUGCAAUGCGCUCUACGUGGGGCUACCUUUGAAGGUGACCCGGAAACUACAACUAAUCCAGAAUGCGGCAGCUAGACUGGUGACUGGGAGCGGCCGCCGAGAUCACAUAACACCGGUCCUAAAAGACCUACAUUGGCUCCCAGUACGUUUCCGAGCACAAUUCAAAGUGUUGGUGUUGACCUUUAAAGCCCUAAAUGGCCUCGGUCCGGUAUACCUGAAGGAGCGUCUCCACCCCCAUCGUUCUGCCCGUACACUGAGGUCCAGCUCCGAGGGCCUUCUGGCGGUUCCCUCAUUACGAGAAGCCAAGUUACAGGGAACCAGGCAGAGGGCCUUCUCGGUAGUGGCACCCACCCUGUGGAAUGCCCUCCCACUAGAGGUCAAAGAGAACAAUUACCAGACCUUUAGAAGGCAUCUCAAGGCAGCCCUGUUUAGGGAAGCUUUUAAUGUUUGAUGGAUUUCUGUAUUUUAGAAUUUCUGUUUUUUUGGAAGCCGCCCAGAGUGGCUGGGGGAACCCGGCCAGAUGGGCGGGGUAUAAAUAAUAAAUUAUUAUUAUUAUUAUUAUUAUUAUUAUUAUUAUUAUUAUUAUUAUUGGAUCUGCUCCUGUAAUCCUUAUAUUAAAAAAGUUUUUGUUUAGAGGGCAUGCUUGUAAAGAGUGAAAAUAUUUUCAGUAUAUCUAGGGAAGAAGAAUUAUAUUUGAGUUCAGACAUACAAUCCUUAUGGAGUCAGAGCAAUAGUCUAGUCCAGGGGUAGUCAACCUUUUAUAUCUACCGCCCACUAAUGCACCUUUCUUGAUGGUAAAAUUUCCUUACUGCCCACCAGUGCUCGAUGUAAGGCGGAUUCAGCUUGUGCUGUAGAACCCCCUACUGCCCACCUAGAAUCCUGAAACGCCCACUAGUGGGCAGUAGGGACCAGGUUGACAACCCCUGGUCUAGUCCAAUAUUUUGUUACAAACUUAUCAUGAAAAAGUCGCUGAUCGAUUUUUGCAGGCUCCUAUGAACAUAAUAAUAAUUGUAUCUAAAACAGUUCCUCCUGUGAACUGCCUUGAUAACCUGUGGUUAUUUGAACCAGAAUACAUUGCCAUAUAAAAUCAUUAAAUAGACAGACCUCUCUUUUUUCUACUCUGUGUGUGUGUGUGAUGGUGGGAAUUAAAAUUAACUUGCUUACAUUUCUAUCUUUAAAAACCAAAACAAAAAAACCUGGAUAUAAAGGAAAUAUAAAAACAUUAAAAUAAAUGCACCAAGUCCAAAAACUUUCUGUACUAACACGUAACUGGCUAAUGCUGGUCCAGCCCUUUGACACGUAAGGCAGUAUUCGAUGCACUUGUUCUGUAGGGGCAAGGAUUUACACUUGUGCAACAAAACUUCCUCUCCAUCUCAUCCUGUGCACAGCCUCCCUAAAUCUGCUCCAGAGGGUUGGGGAAAACCCCAGAGCAGAUUUAGUGGGAGGCGUGUAUGCAGGGAAGUUCUGUUUAACAAGCAUAAAUCCUUCCUGUAAUGGGGAUAUUUAGCACAGCUUUGAAUGCAACCCAUAAUACUUAUGUGUAAUUUAUGCUCAUGUGGCUGGCAUGUGCACCUAUUGAUAGGAUUAUAAUCUUAGUUAUUGUUUCUGAAGUUUGCUGUAGAUUUUUAUCGCUGUUAUUUAAUUGGUUUUGUUUUGUCCAGCACUUCCUUUAACUUGUAGUUAAAGUAGUAUUGGUAUGUAAGGAUAUAUAUGCAUGUAACAACUGUUUCCAUGUGAUUUGCACCUAACAGUACCAUAAACAGCUUGUGGGGUCCAAACACCAUCCUGUGCUCUGUCCAUCCCCAGUGGCAUGCUGCCUGUGGUUUAUUUUUUAAACAUAGAAGUACAUAUUUUUUUGAACUCCAUGCAGUCUGUUUUUCUUUUCUUAGUAGAAUACUGUAAUGUCCUGCACACGAGCUAUUGCCCUAACACUUCCCUCCCACUGUUGCAGUUUUUUUUUCUUUUGACUUUUUAAACUGGAUUGUUCAUAUCCCAUGCCCUCUUCCACCUUGACUAAUAUUCAUCACAUUUCUGUUUUUUCCCCUCUCCCUAACACUGAAAUGGCCCAAUAAGUAUUGGCAUCCUCCCUUUGGCCCCCUCUAUUUCAGCCUUGUAAAAUCUUAUCAUUUCUGCACAUUUAGUUUUUGCCUAGUCUCAGGAUUGCACUCAACACUAAAGAGUGAAUGAAGAACAAAAAGAAAGCAAAAGAAAUGUAAAAAGUGUUCUAACAAAUAGGUGCUGGUGCAGACCUGUCUUAAAUUAUUUGAAAUAUCGCCAUGCUAGAAUCAGCUGCUGUGCAUUGAAUAUCUAUGUAGUUUUCCACCUUGAGUUUUAACUUUUCUGUUGGUCUGUUUAAUCACUGUAGAAUAUUUUUCUUUUGACAGUCGGUACAUUAUAUAUGUAAUUGCUUUUUCUUGUUUUGUGUAGCCAAUCAAAAACCCCCCUUCAGGGAAAAAGUAUGUUAGAUGUCCAUGUAAUUGUCUGCUUAUCUGUAAGGAUACAUCACGGAGGAUAGGAUGUCCAAGACCCAACUGGUAAGGGCAAACCAAAUUAUAAUUUGCUUUUUCUCUUUGGUUUUCACACACACAAAAAUGGUCUGACUAGUGUGAUAUAAAUAGCAUAAACAAUAAAAAAGAAUACUGCCUCUGGCUAUUUCUCUGUUUAAUGUUUCACAUAAAUUUGUGGCUGCUAACCUCUGCAGAACUAAAUCAAUCUUUACCAAGGACAAAGAAGAAAAAUAACUUCUGCUUCUACUGUGCUACCCAUCAUGGGAAAGACAUAAAGAUGGGUGCCUCUUGCACGAGAUAAAAGGCAAAAAUAUCAUAUUUGAUAUUAGAAAUGGACCAAGUAAAGAAGUGGCUGCAAAGGAACCAUUGGGUGCAUUUAAAGCGCACACCCAAUGGUUUCUUAGCAGGUGGGGCUUGCAUUUGGCACAUUUUUAAAUUUUGUACCAAUUACAUGCCCCACUGGGAUUGGUCUCACUGAGGAAACUUAUGAAAUUAGGGGCUGCAAUUGGCACCAGUUGCACUGAUUGCCACUGGCUGCAGCUGCUGCUGGGAUUCACUGCACUCCAGAGUGCCUGGUCAGGAGCGCCCCCCCCCCCACCAAUCCCUGGCUGUCAGUGCUGAUCAGCUGAUUGGCCCUGACUGCUGCACCUGCUGAGAUUGCCGGCAGGGGUCUUUUUUGCAGACCAGCUUGGUACUUUCGUGGGAAACUGCUAGAUACACAGCUAUUACAGUAUUGUUACUGCCUAACAACUACAAAUAACCCAUCUUUUCUCCAAUAAACACUUCUUAUGUAUUGAACGUAGUCAGAUUGGUUCCAAGUGUUUAGUAUUGCAGUAAAACAAAAUGAAGAAGGGUAAGAAAGAGGAAGGUAGUUCAGUAUAUCCAGGAGAAACACAGUAAGUCAAUAUAUUAGUGCACACUGCUGUUUUAUGAAAUGCCUGAUCCUACAUUGUGUUGCUAUAGGAGCAGCAGAACGUAGGAUGUAUGCUAGGAGCACCAGUUCAGAACUGUGUAACACCUUACUCCGUACUUCCAGUACAGUAGUAGGAGUCUCUGUCGCUUCCUGCCUCAAGGACUGCACUAGUUAUUGAUGCUGCCGCAUUGGUGACAUUUGGGGAAACAGUGGGGCUCUGUACUGCCCCCAAGUACCCAUUUGCCUCUACAAAUAAUGCAUCCAAGCACUAGGGAAAGGGUUCAGCCAAGGAGUAGAAUGGUGGCUUAUCUGUGUAAUGGUACGGAGCUUAGAUAGUGCAUACAUUGCUGCUUUAGCUUUGUGGCCAUUCAAGUUACGAGGUGGUAGGGUUGCUUGAGAAAGACUAUGGCUUCAAGGCAAUGUAUUCAACUUAGAUAUCAGUGCCUAGUGAGCAAGGUGAUAUAUUUGAGGACUAAUGCAUAAAAGUAUGCAUUUCUACAACAAAGGUUUGCAUUGUAACCUUAUCAGUUUUGCCAUAUGUUUUGUAUCUUAAAAUGUUGCUUGGGGUUUGAUGCCAGAACAGGCCCAUUUUAGGCGGGCCGAAUCGGAACAAGCUUUCAUUGUUGAAGAUAUAUGGCUAGGGAAUACCCUUUUUCUGUGCUGUAUACAAUGACAUGAUGGGUUUACUUUUCUCCAUACAGUAGGCGAAUAAUUAAUCUUGGUCCAGUUAUGUUGAUUCCAGAGGAGCAGCCAGCACAGCCUGCAAUCCCUGUUCAGCCAGAAGGUACUAGAGUGGUGUGUGGGCACUGUGGAAAUACAUUCCUGGUAUGCUGGUCAUCGUUUGCCCAAAACAGCCUGGCACGCCUAAUUCUGCUCAUGGACUGAAGGUUGCCUAUCACUGGUUUAUUGUGAAUAAGCUGUAUGCUGCUCUAAAGUUCCUGUGGCACGCCUCUCUUGCUCCAGCUGCUAACACACCACAGACAAAACUAGUUAAGACUCUGGCUACCAUGUUGUCUGAGCCCAGAUUUGUGAAGCUGAAAGUUGGAAGAUUCAGGACAAACAGAAGGAGGUGCUUCUUAUACACUGCAUAUUUAAGCUAUGGCAUUUGCUCUUUCAAGGUGUAAGGAUGGCCAACAAUGUGAAAUGCUUUAAAUCGGGAUUAGACAAAUUCAUGGAGCAAAAGGCUAUUGUUGUAUACUACCUCCAGGAUCUGGGGAAGUGUGCUUCUGUAUACCAGUUGCCAGAAAUCAGAUGGUGAUAUUGCUGUUGCACUCUGGUAUAGCUUGUGUUCUUCCCACUGGUUGGCCACAGUGAGAACAGGAUGCUGGACUAAAUGGGCCUUUGGUAUGAUUCAGCAGAGUUCUUAUAUCGUUCUAUUAGUGCUAACAGCAGAUUCAGUAGGGGUUUUUUUUCAUUGGGACUGCAGUUUUGAGUGAAAAGGUCCUGAUCCAAGCCAGAGACCACAUGGUUUUUUAAAUAAACAUAUGAAUUGGAGGAUGAAAAACUGCUAAGGAGUACCAACAAUAUAAUCCUAGGGGGUGCAUGUGUCUAGUUUCGAAGGAAGAGUAAUAGCUGCAUUAGUGACAUGAAAGUGCUACUGCCAUUUAUAAACAGAGCGUAUAGUACGUCAGACAACCUAGUAAGCAGCAAGUCAUGGGAAAUCGUUUUGUAAGGAAAUCCCAAACCACAGAGUGUGGGGAUACUGCUUGCAAAAGGGCAUCCCAGUGACGGAAGGAAAUGAGGAAUAAAAACUAAGUGAAUCAUGAGAAGUAAAAUCUUGUGCUGUGAUUCCCAGUGACAUUUAACACGAAGCAAAAUAAACAGUUUUCAUACUGGCAUUUUUUCAACACUUCCUUUCUUAUUUAUUACAGUGGAUGGAACUGAGAUUCAACACUUUGGCAAAGUGCCCACAUUGUAAAAAAAUGUAAGUUUCAACAAGUGCUUCUACUAACGUUGUUAUUUUGGGAGAUAUAUGUAUUUGAAAUAUAAUCCCUCAGUCAUUGGACAAAACAUUUGUAAAUUCUGAUAAUGAAUGUCAACUCACCCUUCUCUUGUCAUUUCUAAUUUUCCUUAGUCAAAAACUAUUGAAAAUUAUUACUAAAUUGGAAAUGCUUGGAUAUAGAGAGAAACAGUUGCUGAAAGAAAUAUUAAUUUCCUAAUUAGCAUGAAAGCGAGUAAAUGAAGAGCAAAUAAGUUUUUGUUAUGAAAAAUAUGCAUGCUACUUUCUUUAAUGCAGCAAUUUAAUUAAACUAGAAACUAAUAAAAAGCAAUUUAUUACCUGUUUUGAUUAUUGUUAUGAUGGUCAUUUUGAUAAUGCUUACAGAUUAACCUGAUAGAAGUUCUUACUGGAACACUUCUUGACGAUGAACAAAAAACAAAACAAAACAGUAUCAGUAAGAGAACAGCCUUCCUGGAACAGUAGCAAUGACAUCUAAUAGUGCUACUAAAAUGAGUUUGCACUGUAUCAUUCUUGCAAUUGAAAAGCUCUGAAAUAAAUUUUGCUUAAUUUCAUGAUGCUACAGAGACUGAAUGGUUGUGUGCACAUUUUAAAAUGAAGCUAUAUUACAACUUUCCAGCUGUAAUUCAGAACAGGAAUUGCAUCCAGAUUCCUAUGCUACUUUAGUGACGUGGUACGCUUGUGGUGGUGUGGAAUCUCUUGCCAUACGGACAGAAGAGUGGUGAAACACAGGGUAGGGAAGUAGUGGCCAGACAGCAUCUGUGAGCCCAGUCCAGGUUGAAAGGGUACAUGGCUGAGCACGAGUGGGUGUGCGCACAAGGGUAAGAGAGAAGGGAAAGGAAGGGGGGAGCUGAUGGGGGUUUUGGAGUGAAGGGUGACAUGGAAUGAUGACAUGGGAAGAGGACUAAGGCACAGGAAAGACUUGGAAACUGCUUGGUUCAGGUAUACCUUGUGCGAGGUGAACACUACUUCCUUCCACAUUUUGAAGCCAUUUAAGUGAGGGAGGAACAAAAAAUGAGCAAGGAAAAUGAAGAGUAUCAAGAUAGUUCUUGAUAACUGGGCUUGCUGCAGAACUUUCUGUACUUGGUACAGAUACAUAAUUUUAACCAUGCUGGAGGUGCAAAAUAGUUCAAACAACAUGACAUGUAUAAACAGUUUUGUACAUGAUGAUAAGCUGUGUGCAGAAAACAAAAGUCACCUAUGAAGCUCAUCUAAAUAAUCUACAGAAUUUUUAAAUCACCUUAUUACAGUAGCUUUAUUUAUCUUAGUUAAGUAUGGACCAAUGGAAAGCCCCGGGCACCAAGGUACAAGCCUCAUUAAGUAGUACCCAGGGGACUUCAUCUUUUAGUUUGAAAACUUUGAAAUUACUUAUUGUAGUAAAUCUGCAUAAACCAGGCAAUUAAAAAGCAUUCCACCUGCAAUAAUUUUUAUUAAUUUUUCCAAAUAUCUUAAUAAUAUUAUUCUCCUUUAAAUCUAAAGUUAAUUUGGAUAAGAAAAAGCAUUCCAGCAACAUUAAAAAAUAAUAAUCAGUCACAUGCUAGGCUCAUGAGCCCUUUCUGUGCUUUUAGUGGAGUGUUCGAGCAUUUGAACAAUCACAUGACAGCUUACAGAUAUUUUUUUUUGUUAGCAAUGUUGUUGCUGCUUUGAUUGGGACAUCUGUAGCCUUCCUUGCUCCAGAAUGUGGUGUAACUUUGAAAUCCAGAUUGAGAAUAGACUCUAACAAGUUUAAACUCAUGACUUCCAUCAGGGGAGAUGUAGAAAGUAUACCCUUUAAUGAAUCCUUUAUAAAGUCAGAACUGUUUGUUUUGUUUUUUAAUUUUCGCUGCGGUAUACUGUUUGUUUGCAGUUCUUCUGUUGGAUGUGCACUUCCACGAAGACGGUGUUGUGCAUAUAUUACAAUUGGAAUGAUAUUUAUCUUCAUUGGAGUUGGAUUAACUGUGAGUUAAAACCUAUUUAUCUACUUGCACUUUUUGGCGUGCUUUCGAACUGCUAGGUUGGCAGGAGAAUCUAAAUUAAAUCAUUAAUGGUAUCCUGCAGUUGAACAGAGCUAGUGGCAUUGUUGUAGUGGUGCAAAAAAUUGGGACUCUUUGCUAAUGCGUCCUAAAGGAAUUCAUAAGCUAGUGUGUACCAAAACGUAUUUUUAAAGCCUCAUUCUUAAAUUUCAAAUUAUCAUGCAUGGCAUCAUAAUGCUGCAAGAUAAUCUCAGAAUGAAAAUGGAAAAUUUUAAUUUUUCUGUCAUUGGGAAAGGCCCCUACUGUGGCCAAACUACACACUGCAACAGCUGACCGAUGUUUUCUCCCAGUGGUAUUCCCCAGUCAAAUUUAAAUUGGACCCAGUGUGGUGAUUUAAAGCAGGGAUGGGUAGCUUUGCUGCAUGUCAGCUGGGCAGCUCAACAAAGCCCGCUGCCCCUGCAUGUCAGUUCUGCAGAUUGAGGUACUCACCCCGAUUUAAAGUGUCAAAGGGUACCAUAUUGAAGCACAGUUGGGGAAAAGGUAGCAGGGGCAAGGAUUUUGUCUUGUACAUUCCACACACAGCUCAAGGAACAUGUGGUGAUGGUGGAUCUAUGCUCAAAUACCUGGCUUGCCAGGAGGGAGAUAUUGAAUAGCUUUCAACAUAGUCAUUGGAGAUUUUAAGUAACCUUUCUUUUGCUUAGAUAACUUCUGCUGUGAUUUGUACACACAGAUGCUCAUGCCCUUGGUGAUGUCAGUCUAAACAAAGAAAGUGCAGCCAGUGUGUCUUGAAUGCAGAAAAAAUGUGGUUCCUGGCUUCCUUAAAUUCUAUUCUGAUCACGAAAAGGAUCAAUAGCUAUAGAGUUACAGUUAUGUCCAUUUUCAUCUAUUUGUGCCUUGCUGCAUGAAUUCUCCCAUGAUACUUGGAACUGUAGUAGGACCUUGCUGCACUGAUGUAGGCUACAGUUUUAUACACACUUAACUUAGGAGCAUGUCCGUCUGAACUUAGAAAACAAGCAUAUGCAAGAUUGGACUGCAGAUGUGCAUGGAAGUACUUCAUUACUCCUGGGAAGCUGUGACCUAACUGUGAAAGGGCAACGUCCCCCAAAAGAUUUUAUGGUAACUUUAUAGUGCACUGUUCCCAAAUGAACAAAGUUACAUAAGAAAAUAUAUAUUGACCCAAGAGGCGAUUCCCCACAUGGUCUAUCUAUGCAUGAAAAUACAGUCCCUCGGCCUGAAGUGAAAUGAUUGCCACAUCCCAUAGUUGCCUUUGACUGGACUCAACCGUCCAGGGGUCCUUUACCUUUUACCUAUAUACAGUAUCUUAUGAAUGGAAUUUAACCCAUUGAAGACAGCAGCAGGAGGGGGUAAUUGCUAUAUUGGAAAGCUCUGUUAAAGGCAAGGCUUUGAGGCAAGAACUCUAGCAGGAAUCACAAAGUUCCUCAAAAAUGGGAGCUGGAAUAUUAGAUUCACCCCCUCAACCAAAGUUUUUCUUUAAGAAGAGCAAGUAUAAUCCAAGACAAUAAAUGUAAGUUGUAAAAUAUAGCUUUAAAAUGGUAACUUUUUAAUGUCCAAUUUAAUAUUUUAUUUCACAAUUAAAAUACAAAAUUUGUAGUGAUCAGGGUUGUAUUUAUUGUUACACUAAAUAUGAUGGCAAGUACGCCUCCAGCAAACUUGUAGAAUUGUUUAUGGUGUAAUUAUUAUGAACAUCUCAGUAAGUCUGACCAAUCCUAUACCCUAUACUUCCAUUGUUUAGAAUGUAAUCGGUGUUCUGUGUCUGUUGGAAAACAGCAUGUUCUUUUGGAUAAAAACUACAUUAAAAAAUUCCUGGUAACUUUCCGAGUAUGAAAUGCAAAAUAACUUCUCUCUAUGGCAAUAGAUUUCUGAUGUGCUAAUAGGAAAAGGCUAUCUAUGUCCCAAAUAAGUUAACGCAGAGCAGAUUGGAAUUGCUUCAGAAACCUAUAAGGUUGUGUUAUUUUUUCCCCUUUAAGUAUUAAUUUUAUACAAAUUGUUAAUGCUUCACCUUAAAGAUUUAAAUGAUACUUAUUAAUUGUUCUUUUUAUUUUUAACAGGUUGGUACGCAAGAUUUUGCCAGAAACUUUCAUGCCACUUAUGUUUCUUGGGCUAUUGCUUACCUCUUAGGUUUGGUCUGCCUAAUUCGAGCCUGCUACUGGGGAGCCAUAAAA